rnacentral:rRNA from 1 species
CCUACGGGGUGCAGCAGUGGGGAAUCUUGCACAAUGGGGGAAACCCUGAUGCAGCAACGCCGCGUGAGGGAAGACGGUUUUCGGAUCGUAAACCUCUGUUCUUAGAGAAGAACAAUGACGGUAGUUAAGGAGCAAGCCACGGCUAACUCCGUCCCAGCAGCCGCGGCAAUCCGCAGGUGGCAAGCGUUGUUCGGAAUUACUGGGCGUAAAGGGUGCGCAGGUGGGAAGCCAAGUCAGCUGUGAAAGCAUCGGGCUUAACUUGUAGACUGCAGUUGAGACCGGUGUUCUUGAGUGAAGUAGAGGUGGGCGGAAUUCCGAGUGUAGCGGUGAAAUGCGUAGAUAGUCGGAGGAACACCAGUGGCGAAGGCGGCCAACUGGGCUUUAACUGACGCUGAGGCUCGAAAGUGUGGGGAGCAAACAGGAUUAGAUACCCCGGUAGUC